UUCAGUCUAGAGUUGACCGUACCGCAAACCGACACAGGUGGGCAGGAUGAAAAUUCUAAGGCGCUUGAGAGAACUCAGGAGAAGGAACUCGGCAAAUUAACACCGUAACUUCGGGAGAAGGUGUGCCCCGGUAGCGUGUAGAGACUUGCUCUCGAAGCGCGAUGGGGUUGCAGUGAAAUGGUGGCUGCGACUGUUUAAUAAAAACACAGCACUCUGCAAACACGAAAGUGGACGUAUAGGGUGUGACGCCUGCCCGGUGCCGGAAGGUUAAGUGAUGGGGUGCAAGCUCUUGAUCGAAGCCCCGGUAAACGGCGGCCGUAACUAUAACGGUCCUAAGGUAGCGAAAUUCUUGUCGGGUAAGUUCCGACCUGCACGAAUGGCGUAACGAUGGCCACACUGUCUCCUCCUGGGACUCAGCGAAGUUGAAAUGUUUGUGAAGAUGCAAUCUACCCGCGGCUAGACGGAAAGACCCCAUGAACCUUUACUGUAGCUUUGCAUUGGACUUUGAACCGGUUUGUGUAGGAUAGGUGGGAGACUGUGAAGCCGGGACGCUAGUUUCGGUGGAGUCAACCUUGAAAUACCACCCUGAUUUGUUUGAGGUUCUAACCUUGGUCCGUGAAUCCGGAUCGGGGACCGUGCAUGGUAGGCAGUUUGACUGGGGCGGUCUCCUCCAAAAAGGUAACGGAGGAGUACGAAGGUACGCUUAGGGCGGUCGGACAUCGCCCACAAAGUGCAAUGGCAAAAGCGUGCUUGACUGCGAGACCCACAAGUCGAGCAGGUACGAAAGUAGGUCAUAGUGAUCCGGUGGUUCUGUAUGGAAGGGCCAUCGCUCAACGGAUAAAAGGUACUCUGGGGAUAACAGGCUAAUUCCUCCCAAGAGUUCAUAUCGACGGGGGAGUUUGGCACCUCGAUGUCGGCUCAUCACAUCCUGGGGCUGUAGUCGGUCCCAAGGGUAUGGCUGUUCGCCAUUUAAAGUGGUACGCGAGCUGGGUUUAAAACGUCGUGAGACAGUUUGGUCCCUAUCUGCCGUGGGCGCUGGAAAUUUGAAGGGGGCUGCUCCUAGUACGAGAGGACCGGAGUGGACGAACCUCUGGUGUACCGGUUAUGACGCCAGUCGUAUCGCCGGGUAGCUAAGUUCGGAAGAGAUAAACGCUGAAAGCAUCUAAGCGUGAAACUCGCCUUAAGAUAAGAUUUCCCGGAGUCUUGAACUCCCUGAAGGGUCGUCGAAGACCACGACGUUGAUAGGUCAGGUGUGGAAGCGCAGCAAUGCGUUAAGCUAACUGAUACUAAUUGCC
rnacentral:rRNA from 1 species